GUAUGCUCGAUAUUUUGGUGGAGAUUUGAAAAUCAUAUCCAUGGAAGGAUACGAUUGUCCCGGCUUGAUUUCCAUUUGGAUUUUGUACAGUAUAUAAGUUGACGAGCGUUGUGAGAGGACUUCUUUAGAUUCUCUGCACCAACGAGUACCAAAAGAGCAAACCACAAAUCAUUGGUCUGAGAAAUAUACGGUAUUUUCAUCGGGGCGCGAGAAGAGAUAGGGAAGCGUUGCCAUUUUCAGAUUAAGAAACUUUUAACUUGCGGCUCCGACGAAGGCGAUAGAGAGAUAAUUUGCGAGGUUAAUCGAGUGGAGAGCUUCUGUCAAUUCCGAGAUGACUACGAGGCGUAGACGGCCAGGGAAAGAGCAUGUGGGCGAGGAGGAUAAUCCCGGCGGGCGCGGUUCUAGAUCUAUUCAAAACUCCCAUUAGGGUUUUAAUUUGUAGAUUAGGGUUUCAUUUAGGGGUGUGGUUCUAGAUUUCCAAGUUCUCUAAGUUUUUUUCUGGUUUUUGUUUGUUUUACAGAGAUGGCGCAAACUGAAGAGGGAGUAAAAGGUCAAAGCUUGUUGCUAGUUUUUGUGUUUUGACAAAAUUGUGGUCGGAUGUACACCAACACGUGUGUACAUAUGAACAACCAGGAUUUUGUUCAUGUGUACACGCGUGUAUAUGUACAUAAUAAGUAAUGUUGAUAUGAGUAUUCUUGUUGAUAAGUUGGCAUGUAUAUGUUGUGUUUGUUGGUGUAGGAGCCGGUGCAUAUGAACAAUAUCCAUGUGU